GAACUGAAUAUGGGGUGCUGCGUGUCCGCGGCUGAGAUGAAACGAAUCGACGUUUCCGUCCCUUAGACCUGAUCUGGGUAAUGCCAGCGUAGGAAACUUUUAACAAGCAAAA
rnacentral:ncRNA from 1 species